UGCGUAGGCGGACUAAUAAGUCAGUGGUGAAAUCUCUCGGCUCAACCGGGAAACUGCCAUUGAUACUGUUAGUCUUGAGUUCGGUUGAGGUAGGCGGAAUGUGUAAUGUAGCGGUGAGAUGCUUAGAUAUUACACAGAACACCAAUUGCGUAGGCGGCUUACUAGACCGACACUGACGAUGAGGCACGAAAGCGUGGGUAGCGAACAGGAUUAGAUACCCUGGUAGUCC
rnacentral:rRNA from 1 species